GCAUCGGUGGUUCAGCGGUAGAAUGCUCGCCUGCCACGCGGGCGGCCCGUGUUCGAUUCCUGGCCGAUGCA
rnacentral:tRNA from 1 species